AAAGGAGGGAUGUUUGUUCUCCAAAUGAAGGUCGUUUAUCUCUAAGCCAGAUAUGUCAGCCCUGAAAAGAUGGGAAGUUCAUGCCAAGAUAAACCUCCAGAAAGGACUCCUUCUUUCUCCUGUGCAUUUAGCCAAACCAGAACAGAAAAAGGGGUGGGGGAGAAUAACUACUUUUGAGUCAGCAGAGAAAACAUUCUUGUAGGUAGAGUUUGGAAAGGACAACUAACAAUCUGUUUCCAAACAGGUUUUCGUAAAUAACUGACAGGAGAUGGGCUGUUUCUAUCAAAGUAUUAACCCAAACGAUGGCGGUUAAUCAUUAAAUCUUUCAGGUGGUGGCUUGCUUGUUUGCUAUUCUAAUCCGGAUCACAGAAUGGCUAAAGUAGCUUUAACUGGAGGGUGGAAUUUUUUUUCCCUCUGCUUGCCUUGUGUUUUCCACUCUGAAAGAAUGUUGUGGCUGCUCUUUUUUCUGGUGACUUCUGUUCAUGCUGAACUUUGUCAACCAGAUGCCGAAAAUGCUUUUAAAGUGAGACUUAGUAUCAGAACAGCUCUGGGAGAUGAAGCAUACGCCUGGGAUACAAAUGAAGAAUAUCUCUUCAAAGCGAUGCUGGCUUUCUCUAUGAGAAAAGUUCCCAACAGAGAAACA